rnacentral:rRNA from 1 species
GACAGAGGUCCCGAGCGUUAGGCGGAAUCACUGGGCUUAAAGCGUGUGUAGGCGGAUUGUUAAGUACCUUGUGAAAUCCCACGGCUCAACCGUGGAACUGCUGGGUAUACUGGCGAUCUUGAGCCACCUAGGGGCGAGCGGAACAAGCGGUGGAGCGGUGAAAUGCGUAGAUAUCGCUUGGAACGCCAAUGGUGAAAACAGCUCGCUGGGGGUGUGCUGACGCUGGAGACACGAAAGCCAGGGGAGCGAACGGG